rnacentral:lncRNA from 1 species
CUGUAGAAGCCCGGAUGGAAACUUUCUGUUGGAGAAAUCCGACUGGAGUCCGAUGGCUAGAGAAGUCCGUCUGAAAUUUAUUUGAUGUAGAAGCUUGUCUGAAGACUGUCCUCUGGAGAGGUCCAAUUGCAUGAGGAAUCCGACAGAAGGUCGAUCGAUAGCAAAAUUCGAAAGGCACUAUAGAAGGUUGACCGAUAGAAGAGUCUGAAAGGCGUUAUGGAAGUUUGUCC